rnacentral:rRNA from 1 species
CCUACGGGCGGCAGCAGUGGGGGAUAUUGCACAAUGGGGGGAACCCUGAUGCAGCGACGCCGCGUGGGUGAAGAAGCGCCUCGGCGCGUAAAGCCCUGUCAGCAGGGAAGAAAAUGACGGUACCUGAAGGAGAAGCCCCGGCUAACUACGUGCCAGCAGCCGCGGUAAUACGUAGGGGGCAAGCGUUAUCCGGAUUUACUGGGUGUAAAGGGGGCGCAGACGGGGAUGCAAGCCCGGAGUGAAAGCCCGGGGGCCAACCCCGGGACUGCGCGUGGAACUGCGUGGCUGGAGUGCAGGAGGGGCAGGCGGAAUUCCUGGUGUAGCGGUGAAAUGCGUAGAUAUCAGGAGGAACACCGGUGGCGAAGGCGGCCUGCUGGACUGCAACUGACGUUGAGGCCCGAAAGCGUGGGGAGCAAACAGGAUUAGAUACCCGUGUAGUC